GCUCCUUACGAUUGGUCGGGAAAGACGGGCUUCAGUACGAUCAGUUUGGUCAUCUGGUCGUGGAUCCAGCCUGAGCUCCUUGCCGGAUGUACGUGAUGUUAAGAGUUUUCAAGGCUCCUAAGACAAAUGAUGUAGUAUAAAAGAUUGUCGAACCAAUUAUAAGGGAUUUCAAAGCACUGAGAAUGCAAGUACUCACUUAAUCUA
rnacentral:lncRNA from 1 species